rnacentral:rRNA from 1 species
AUUGAACGCUGGCGGCAGGCUUAACACAUGCAAGUCGAACGAGUGGCGGACGGGUGAGUAAUGCCUGGGAAUCUAGCUUAUGGAGGGGGAUAACUACGGGAAACUGUAGCUAAUACCGCGUACCAUAGGAUGUGCCCAAGUGGGAUUAGGUAGUUGGUGGGGUAAAGGCUCACCAAGGCGACGAUCCCUAGCUGGUCUGGGAGGAUGACCCAGCACACUGGGACUGGGGCACGGGCCAGACCCCUACCGGAGGCAGCAGUGGGGGAACUUCCGACAUGGGGGGAAAGUGACUGAGGAACGCCGGGGUGUUUAUGACGGGCUUCGGGGUGUUAAAGUCUGUUAAUCGGAAGACGGUACCGGAAGAGGAAGCAACGGCUAACUACGUGCCAGCAGCCGCGGUAAUUC